rnacentral:rRNA from 1 species
GAUCAUGGCUCAGAUUGAACGCUGGCGGCAGGCUUAACACAUGCAAGUCGAACAGUAACAUAAAGGAGCUUGCUUCUUUGAUGACGAGUGGCGGACGGGUGAGUAAUGCUUGGGAAUCUAGCUUAUGGAGGGGGAUAACUACGGGAAACUGUAGCUAAUACCGCGUAGAAUCGGGAGAUGAAAGUGUGGGACCUUCGGGCCACAUGCCAUAGGAUGAGCCCAAGUGGGAUUAGGUAGUUGG